CGUGUAGGCGGCUCAUCAAGUCUGGUGUGAAAUCGCAGGGCUCAACCCUGCGUAUGCGCUGGAAACUGGUGGGCUGGAGUUCCUGAGGGGAAGCUGGAAUUCCAGGUGUAGGGGUGAAAUCUGUAGAUAUCUGGAAGAACACCGGUGGCGAAGGCGAGCUUCUAUCAGAGGACUGACGCUGAGGCGCGAAAGCGUGGGGAGCAAACAGGAUUAGAUACCCUGGUAGUCCACGCUGUAAACGAUGUGCACUAGGCGUGGGGCACGUACGUGUUCUGUGCCGUAGUUAACGUGAUAAGUGCACCGCCUGGGGAGUAUGCUCGCAAGGGUGAA
rnacentral:rRNA from 1 species